rnacentral:rRNA from 1 species
UUAAGCUAAUAAGAGCGCAGGGAGGAUGCCUUGGCAUCAGGAGCCGAUGAAGGACGCGGUAAGCUGCGAUAAGCUCCGGGGAGUGGCAAGCACACUUUGAUCCGGGGAUUUCCGAAUGGAGCAAUCCACAUGGGUGUCGCCCAUGUAUCAUACACUGAAUAAAUAGGUGUAUGAGGGGAACCGUCUGAACUGAAACAUCUAAGUAGGACGAGGAAAAGAAAUCAACCGAGAUUCCGCUAGUAGUGGCGAGCGAACGCGGAAGAGGCUAAACCAUGGUCAGCAAUGACCGUGGGGUUUGGACUGCAUUUAGUAUCAAUGAGAUCUAGUCGAAGUACAUGGGAAGGUACAUCGAAGAGGGUGAGAAUCCCGUAGACGAAAGGUCGAGUUGGCGAGCAGUAUCCAGAGUACCGCCGGACACGUGAAACCCGGUGGGAACAUGGGGGGACCAUCCUCCAAGCCUAAAUACUACCUGAUGACCGAUAGCGCAUAGUACUGUGAAGGAAAGGUGAAAAGAACCCCGGGAGGGGAGUGAAAGAGAGCCUGAAACCCUGUGCUUACAAGCACACAGAGCACGUCAAUGUGUGAUGUGGUACCUAUUGUAGAAUGGUCCGGCGAGUUAUUUUAUGCAGCGAGGUUAAGAACCUAAGGUUCGGAGCCGAAGUGAAAGCGAGUGUUAAUAGCACGACACAGUUGCAUGUAAUAGACCCGAAACCGGGUGACCUAUCCAUGUCCAGGCUGAAGUGAGGGUAAAACCUCAUGGAGGGCCGAACCGACUCCCGUUGAAAUGGUAGCGGAUGAGGUGUGGAUAGCGGAGAAAUUCCAAUCGAACCCGGAUAUAGCUGGUUCUCCCCGAAACCGUUUUAGGACGGGCCUCGUGUGAAGAUUAUCGGAGGUAAAGCACUGAAUAGCCUAGGGGGCGAGAGCCUACCGAAGCUUAUCAAACUCUGAAUGCCGAAUAAUCGUUUCACGGGAGUCAGACUGUGUGAGAUAAGUUUCAUAGUCAAAAGGGAAACAGCCCAGACCCACAGCUAAGGUCCCAAAGUGUAUUUAAGUGGAAAACGAUGUGAAGUUGCGUAGACAACCAGGAUGUUGGCUUAGAAGCAGCCACUCAUUAAAAGAGUGCGUAAUAGCUCACUGGUCGAGUGACUUUGCGCGGAAAAUUUAACGGGGCUAAAAUACACACCGAAGCUUGGGCUUGACGCAAUGCGUCAGGGGUAGGGGAGCGUCGUGUAAGGGGCGAAGUCGUAUCGUAAGGGACGGUGGACUUUACACGAGUGAGAAUGCCGGAAUGAGUAGCGAGAAUUAUGUGAGAAUCAUAAUGGUCGAAAGCCUAAGGUUUUUGGAGGAAGGUUCGUCCGCUCCAAGUUAGCCGGGAGCUAAGGUCAGGCGGAAACGCGUAGCCGAUGCACAUACGGUUGAAAUUCCGUAGCCUCAGAAAGAUUUAAGCAGAGGGACACUUUGAAAGGACUGUAGCCGGGUGUUGGUUACCCCGGUCGUAAGGGAACGAAAUUAAGUAGUGAAGGCAGUCUGGACGGAGGCGAGAAAAGCUCUGUGUAUAUCUGAUGAGCCCGUACCGCAAACCGACACAGGUAGGUGGGAUGAGAAUUCUAAGACCAACGGGAGAAGGGUAGUUAAGGAACUCGGCAAAUUGUCCCCGUAACUUCGGAAUAAGGGGAGCCUGCUAACGCAGGCCGCAGAGAAUUGGCCCAGGCGACUGUUUAUCAAAAACACAGCUCUAUGCUAAAUCGAAAGAUGACGUAUAUGGGGUGACACCUGCCCGGUGCUGGAAGGUUAAGAGGAGAUGUGAGAGCAUCGAAUUGAAGCCCCAGUAAACGGCGGCCGUAACUAUAACGGUCCUAAGGUAGCGAAAUUCCUUGUCAGGUAAGUUCUGACCCGC